AGUUGUAGGUUCUGCUGUUGUAGGUGCAACUGUUGUCAGUGCAGCAGUAGUUGUAGGUGCUGCUGUUGUUGUUGCAACAGUAGUAGGGGCUGCAGUUGUAGGUGAAGCAGUAAUUAUAGGUUGCACCGUUGUCGGAGCAGCAGUAGUUGUAGGUGCAGUUGUCGUAGGUGCAGCAGUAGUUGUAGGGGCUGCAGUUAUAGGUGCAGCAGUAGUUGUAAGUUGCACCGUUGUCGAAGCAGCAGUAGUUGUAGGUUGCACCGUUGUUGUUG